rnacentral:rRNA from 1 species
AUGACGCUUAAGCUCUUGGCUGAAGUGAGCCCGCAGGAGUUGCUCGAAGCUCUUGCUGAGCUCCAAAACCACAUGCUCGGUUACGUCAAAUCCAUGUCGCUCAGGUGUGUGGUCGAUCUAGGCAUCCCCGAGGCCAUACAUCGCCGGGGCGGCACCGCCACCCUCGCCGACAUCGCGGCAGACGCAAAGGUACAUCCCGGUAAGGUUGCCGACCUGCAGCGCGUGAUGGAACUGCUUACCACCUCUGGCAUUUUCACUGCCACUGCCGGCGCCGGGGAUGGUGACACCGUGGUGUAUGGGCUAACCACGGCCUGCCGCUUCCUUGUCGGCUGGUGCAACCUGUCCCCUAUGGUUCCCUUUUGCGUCAACCCUCUCGUCGUCUCCUCCUUCAGCAUGCCCGAAUGGUUCAGGACCGAGCCUGAGGACGCCGGCGCCGGCUCCCUCUUCGAGCUCGCACAUGGCUGCUCCCAGUGGGAGAUGGUCAGCAAGGACGCCGGGUUCAACGACGUCCUCAACGACUCCAUGGCCGCCGAUAGCCAGGUCUUCCUCGAGGUCAUUAUUGUCGACAAGGGCCGCAUCUUCCGCGGUCUCAGAUCGCUCGUCGACGUAGGUGGCGGCAAUGGCGCGGGCACUCAAGUGAUUGCGAAGGCUUUCCCGCGCAUCAAGUGCACCGUCAUGGACCUUCCUCACGUUGUCGUUGCCGGGCAGGCCGCCGCCCGUGAUGACAACCUGAGUUUCGUCGCCGGUGACAUGUUUGAAUCCAUUCCAUCCGCCGAUGCUGUCUUACUCAAGAACAUUUUGCAUGACUGGGGUCACGACGACUGUGUCAAAAUACUUCAACGUUGCAAGGAAGCCAUCCCUGGCAGAAAUGCUGGAGGAAAGGUGAUAAUUAUAGAUAUGGUAAGAGGAUCUGCAAAUGGCGACAAAAAAAUCAACGAGAUGGAAGCCAUACAAAACUUGUUCAUGAUGUAUAUCACCGGGGUGGAACGAGAUGAAAUUGGGUGGAAGAGGAUAUUUUCUGAUGCUGGCUUCAGUGAUGAUUACAAAAUUCUGCCAGUAUUGGGUCCCUACUCAGUAAUUGAGAUCUACCCAUGA